AAUACAUGCAAAAAAGCUCCGCCCGCAAGGAACGAGCGCAUUUAUUAGAAUAAAAACCAAUCGGGUUUCGGCCCGUAAUUUGGUGAAUCUGAAUAACUUUGCCAAUCGCACAGUCCUAGUACUGGCGAUGUAUCUUUCAAGUGUCUGCCUUAUCAACUUUCGAUGGUAGGUUAUACGCCUACCAUGGUAGUAACGGGUAACGGAGAAUAGGGGUUCGACUCCGGAGAGGGAGCCUGAGAAACGGCUACCACAUCCAAGGAAGGCAGCAGGCGCGCAAAUUACCCACUUCCAGAACGGAGAGGUAGUGACGAAAAAUAACGAGACAGUCCUCUUCGAGGUCUGUCAUCGGAAUGGGUACAAUUUAAAUCCUUUAACGAGGAUCUAUUGGAGGGCAAGUCUGGUG
rnacentral:rRNA from 1 species